AUUGAACGCUGGCGGCAUGCCUUACACAUGCAAGUCGAACGGUAACAGGUCUUCGGAUGCUGACGAGUGGCGAACGGGUGAGUAAUACAUCGGAACGUGCCCGAUAGUGGGGGAUAACGAAGCGAAAGCUUUGCUAAUACCGCAUAAGAUCUACGGAUGAAAGCAGGGGACCGCAAGGCCUUGCGCGAACGGAGCGGCCGAUGGCAGAUUAGGUAGUUGGUGGGAUAAAAGCUUACCAAGCCGACGAUCUGUAGCUGGUCUGAGAGGACGACCAGCCACACUGGGACUGAGACACGGCCCAGACUCCUACGGGAGGCAGCAGUGGGGAAUUUUGGACAAUGGGCGAAAGCCUGAUCCAGCCAUGCCGCGUGCAGGAUGAAGGCCUUCGGGUUGUAAACUGCUUUUGUACGGAACGAAAAGACUCUUUCUAAUAAAGAGGGUCCAUGACGGUACCGUAAGAAUAAGCACCGGCUAACUACGUGCCAGCCGCCGCAGUAAUAC
rnacentral:rRNA from 1 species